UACGUAGGCAGCGAGCGUUGUUCGGAGUUACUGGGCGUAAAGGGUGUGUAGGCGGUUUUCUAAGUUUGGUGUGAAAUCUCCCGGCUCAACCGGGAGGGUGCGCCGAAAACUGGGAGACUAGAGUGCGGGAUGGGAGAGUAGAAUUCCUGGUGUAGCGGUGAAAUGCGUAGAUAUCGGGAGGAACACCGGUGGCGAAGGCGGUUCUCUGGGCCUGUACUGACGCUGAGGAGCGAAAGCGUGGGGAGCGAACAGG
rnacentral:rRNA from 1 species